AAAUAUACCAGCAGACAGGUAGCAAAACAGUGCAAUUGAAGCAUACACAGCGCUGUUUAAAACUGGCAAAAAAAUAUUAAUCUAUGCUUCGGAAACAUGAACAUCCCUCACUAUUUAUUAAUUAGAGAGAGUUCACCAGUAAGAAGCAAC
rnacentral:snoRNA from 1 species